UACGUAGGGCGCAAGCGUUUGUCCGGAAUUAUUGGGCGUAAAGAGCUCGUAGGCGGCUUGUCACGUCGGGUGUGAAAGCCCGGGGCUUAACCCCGGGUCUGCAUUCGAUACGGGCUAGCUAGAGUGUGGUAGGGGAGAUCGGAAUUCCUGGUGUAGCGGUGAAAUGCGCAGAUAUCAGGAGGAACACCGGUGGCGAAGGCGGGUCUC
rnacentral:rRNA from 1 species